rnacentral:rRNA from 1 species
GACGAACGCUGGCGGCGUGCCUAAUACAUGCAAGUAGAACGCUGAAGGAGGAGCUUGCUUCUCUGGAUGAGUUGCGAACGGGUGAGUAACGCGUAGGUAACCUGCCUGGUAGCGGGGGAUAACUAUUGGAAACGAUAGCUAAUACCGCAUAAGAGUAGAUGUUGCAUGACAUUUGCUUAAAAGGUGCAAUUGCAUCACUACCAGAUGGACCUGCGUUGUAUUAGCUAGUUGGUGGGGUAACGGCUCACCAAGGCGACGAUACAUAGCCGACCUGAGAGGGUGAUCGGCCACACUGGGACUGAGACACGGCCCAGACUCCUACGGGAGGCAGCAGUAGGGAAUCUUCGGCAAUGGACGGAAGUCUGACCGAGCAACGCCGCGUGAGUGAAGAAGGUUUUCGGAUCGUAAAGCUCUGUUGUAAGAGAAGAACGAGUGUGAGAGUGGAAAGUUCACACUGUGACGGUAGCUUACCAGAAAGGGGCGGCUAACUACGUG